ensembl:lncRNA EOLA1-DT EOLA1 divergent transcript
ACGUACGCACGCCCUGGCUGCUAGGAGACGCUAUUCUCUUUACCUGGCCCUGAUGCGCGCCAGCCAACCAGGCCAAGGCCAGGGGACCUCGAGACCGGCAGCCUCGACGAAGAACCGGAAGGAGGAAAAGGAACGGGAGGGAGGAAGAUCUCCCGCAUUGACUUCAUAACCAAGUUCUGGGUCCCUGCCUCUGGAGUGCCUGAUGAGACAAAACGGCUCCUCGUCCUGCAUCCCCGCUGCUACUUCCAGAAUUCAGGCCUCGUGGUCUGGAGCCUGCACUGUUCCAUGAGCCUCCUGAGCAACCUGGAGUCCUCUGUCUUUCUUCCCUCAGUGAGAUGCGCCUACUUCUCCCUGGAGAAGCUCGAGGAAGCAGGAAUGCUGGAGAUGAGAGACCUCGUCUGCUCAGGGGCUUGUUCUUACAUCUUUUGCAGGGCUGUUUUGAAGUCAGUAUUCACUUAAGCACUCCAAAUUGUAAGUAACCCCAGAGGUCAUGGAGUGUCCCACUGCCCCUCCAUCUGGAGGCAGUGACCCCUCUCCCACAGAGGAGGUGCUCGCAUGUGUCCAGUGCCCUGCCCAUUAGAUUAGAGAGGGUUCCCUUUUU